AGAGUUUGAUCCUGGCUCAGGACGAACGCUGGCGGCGUGCCUAACACAUGCAAGUCGAGCGGAGAUUGUAGCAAUACAAUCUUAGCGGCGGACGGGUGAGUAACGCGUGGGCAACCUGCCUUUUACAGGGGGAUAACACAGGGAAACUUGUGCUAAUACCGCAUAACAUAUCGAUAUGGCAUCGUAUUGAUAUCAAAGGAGUAAUCCGGUAAAAGAUGGGCCCGCGUCCAAUUAGCUAGUUGGUAGGGUAAUGGCCUACCAAGGCUACGAUGGUUAGCUGGUCUGAGAGGAUGAUCAGCCACACUGGAACUGAGACACGGUCCAGACUCCUACGGGAGGCAGCAGUGAGGAAUAUUGCGCAAUGGGGGCAACCCUGACGCAGCAACGCCGCGUGAGUGAGGAAGAUUUUCGGACCGUAAAGCUCUGUCGAGUGGGAAGAAAUGUGUCAUGGCUAAUAUCCAUGAUACUUGACGGUACCGCUAAAGGAAGCACCGGCUAACUCCGUGCCAGCAGCCGCGGUAAUACGGGGGGUGCAAGCGUUGUUCGGAAUUAUUGGGCGUAAAGAGCGUGUAGGCGGCUGAAUAAGUCAGAUGUGAAAUCCCUGGGCUUAACCCAGGACGUGCAUUUGAAACUAUUCAGCUUGAGUAGGGGAGAGGAAAGUGGAAUUCCUGGUGUAGAGGUGAAAUUCGUAGAUAUCAGGAGGAACACCGGUGGCGAAGGCGACUUUCUGGCCCUAUACUGACGCUGAGACGCGAGAGCGUGGGUAGCAAACAGGAUUAGAUACCCUGGUAGUCC
rnacentral:rRNA from 1 species